GUGAAUCAUCAAAUUUUUGAACGCAAAUGGCACUCCCUGGUAUUCCGGGGAGUAUGCCUGUUUGAGGGUCGUUAGAAUAAAAAAUCGAGGCGUCGCUCUUUGUUUUAAGGGGGAUGGUGUCGGAAUUGAGCGGUCUUUAAAAUGUUAAUUCAUGUUAAAGUGGCUUAAAAUUCAUCAAGCCGGUACGAUAAAAGCGUAGUAAAGAUCAAUUUUGAUUAAGAAUGCGCGAUGAACGUACCAUCUCAUGGAGUACGUUUGAUUUGACGUCGUCAGGAU
rnacentral:misc_RNA from 1 species